ACCGAACCGACUAAUCAUUUUAUUUUCCUUUUUCAGUAUCUCUUCAUUCACAGCUGCAGUCGUAUUCCCCUUUUCUCCCACCAGAGGUUUGUAGAUUUAAGGGUUUCAAUCAAAUGCUUAUCAUUUGCGGUUUGAAGUACUUUGAUGAACUCUGAAGAAAUUAAAAGGACAAACAUCACUUUGAAGCAUGGGAGAGGAUAGGAUAAAUUAUUACCUGAUGAACUUUUGCACCGUAUUCUUUCAUUGGUACCAGCUAAAUGUGCUAUGUCUACCUGCAUUUUGUCCAAAAGAUGGAAGUAUGUAUCGAACUCAAUCUCUACACUUGAUUUUCGUAAAUGGCGAACUCAAAAACCUUUUAGCGAAGAAGGAAAGCUGGAAACCAAAUCGUUCAAGAAUUUUCUGGACACAGUACUGUUUCUCCAUGAAAAGCCUAAUAUCCAGAAAUUCUAUCUUGAUUUGAAUGAGGAUUUUGACGAAUCUCAAGUUUUUAUGUUUGCAUGACAUUCGAGGACAUCCUCCAUAUUUCCUCUGUCAUUUUUUACCUGUGAUUCGUUGACACUGCUGGAUUUAAGUUUCGACAGUGAUGUUGUUGGAAAAUUCAUUGUUCCAAACACACUUUAUUUUCCAAAGCUCAAGAUUCUUCGGUUAGUGUCUUUUCAGUUUGUGAAUGAAAUUACCUCUACAAGAAAAUUCUUUUCGAACUGCCCCAUCCUUGAAGAGUUGAGUUUGACUUAUUGUGAUAUGUUCGAGGGGUUAUGCAUUGCAAACCCCGCACUGAAGCACUUGGUCAUUAUUAACUGUGGAUUAACAGAGUCUACGGUGGAGAUUUAUGCUCCUAAUUUAUUGACCAUUAGCUACAUAGCAGUGGCAGCAGAUGACUUUCGCCUCAGUAGCUUUCCGUCACUAGAGGAGGCCAAAAUUAAAUUUGAUCUUCGGGAUUGCGACGAAUACGACAUCCUAAACGAAGUAUUUGUCAAGAUUUUUGAAAUUUUUUCUAGUGCAAAGCUCCUUAAAAUUUGUGCUGAAUCAUUUCUGGUUCUAAAUAAAUCAGAUAUCGAGUCGAACAAUUCACAUUUAACAAUUUGAUCCAUCUGGAAGUUGGUAACCUAUUAGAUUUCGGGUUUGAGUCUUCUAUUUUGUUCAGAACAUUCUUCAAGUUUCUCCAGAGGUUGCCUAAUCUAGAAACGAUUCUCUUUCCUUAGGAAAGUUGCUCAUCUCUUACCUCUUAAUGUAAUAAAAAACGAUUUCCUUUUUCUUUUUGUUACCAUUGGUAGUCAGUUCUCUGAUUGAGAACUAUUGUUACCGUAUUUUGCAUGGUGACCACAUCUGCUGGCAUGUGAUGUUUGGACAUAGAAUCUAGUCCUUAUGAAUGGGCAGAACGCAAAACUGUUGAUUCGUAUUUCAGAAAGUCAGUUGUCUUAACUGGAAUAACUCGUCUUCCCCUUUGCAAGUCACCAAGCUUUCAUUAACUUUUAUUUUUCUGCACACUCAUUUGGGUUCUCUCAUAAAAACUAAGUAGCUUUUUUUUUCUAUUAGCAUUGCUACUUAUUCCAAUUGUUGUACCGUUUUGCUGAACUAUUGCUUUGACUAUUUUGUAGGGUUGUAAAAUCGCUUUCGUAGAAGAUGAUGAUUAUUGGUCACUUCCUAAGUGUUUGCCUCCACACCUCAAGGCAAUCAAAUUCAAAAAUUUUGGAAGGAAAUUAAUGGAGCUAAAUGCAAUUAAGCUCUUUCUGAAGAAUGCCCGUUUUCUUGAGAGUGUAACCAUUGUAGGUUCUCGAAGGCUCUCCGCAGACCAUUUGAAACAAAACAGUGUAAUGAAGCAGCUUCUAAUGUUUCCGAAACCCCCAAAUUGUGUGGUUAAGUUCUUGACAAGCUCUGAAGACACUCAACAGUACUUUUAAUAUGUCAAUGUUGAUACGGUAGUGUCUGUGAGGAUCUUUAAAAAAUCCCCUUGUGGGGUUUUAAGUACUGUCAAUUUUCUCUUUUCUAGAAUUUGUGGAGAUUUGUGUAAUUCAUUGAACCAUCAAGGAUAGAGCACCAAAAUGUUUUGAUUCUGCACCAUUUUCUAAUAGUCAGUUUCACUACUCCGAUUCUUCGGAAGAAGACUGGUAGCUUUUGGAGUUUUUGUUUAGGUUUUGAGGGAUAUUAUUUAAGUUGUACUUUAUUAUAGUUUUAAGUUCAAAUUUUAUUUUUCAUUA